CCUACGGGAGACAGCAGUGAGGAAUAUUGGUCAAUGGACGAAAGUCUGAACCAGCCAUGCCGCGUGCAGGAUGACGGCUCUAUGAGUUGUAAACUGCUUUUGUAUGAGGGUAAACACCCCUACGUGUAGGGGCUUGAAAGUAUAAUACGAAUAAGGAUCGGCUAACGCCGUGCAAGCAGCCGCGGUAAUACGGAGGAUCCAAGCGUUAUCCGGAUUUAUUGGGUUUAAAGGGUGCGUAGGCGGUUUGAGAAGUUAGAGGUGAAAUACCGGUGCUCAACCCCGGAACUGCCUCUAAUACUGUUGACCUAGCGCGUAGUUGCGGUAGGCGGCAUGUCUGGUGUAGCGG
rnacentral:rRNA from 1 species